UGGUGUGUAGCUCUGUGGCAGAGCACCUGACCAGGAUGCAGGAGGCCCAGGGUUCGAUUCCCAGCACUACAA
rnacentral:tRNA from 1 species